UUAAUACUUGAUCUGGUUAGUUUAUUUUAUUAUGUCGAUUUUUCCCGCGUAUUAAAUACACAUUUUUCGUUUGUGUCAAUCGAUAAUUAGUAUUAUUUAUUGUUUGAAGAUGAGCUGUUGGAAUAACGAACAUUAUGAGUGUAUCAACAUUAUCAAAAGCGAAAAUUUGGCGGUCCAGCAUCCAAUGGAACAAUUUCUAUCAAGGAACAAUCGAGAGGAAGGAAGCGGGCUAUUUUUGUGGAACAGAUAGGUCAAGAAGUUGGAAGACGAGUGAUGGGGCAAGCGAAGACGCGCGCAUCAAACGAACGAGAGGAUUGGUAAAACGAUUCGGCUUUCUAUGUAGAUCAGUUGAGACAAAGUAGAAAGAAUCGCGUAUCUAUACGAACCAUCACACUGAAAAUACUUCUCGGGAAAUAGCUUUUCAGAAAUUGCUUUACGGUAUAGAAAUAAUCGUCGAACGAGCGAGCGACCGACCGACCAGUCGACCAAGGUUCGAAACAUGGCGAACGAAGCAUAAAAAAUUUUUCUAGAUAAUCUAAUCAUACGUAGAGAAGAAAAGUACAUAAAAAAUUUCAUGAUUUUCGUUGAUAUUGAAUUCGCUAUUAAUUAAAAACAUAUAUUUUGUGACACGAAUUAAAUAAAUCAUUUAUUUAAAGGAAACAAAAAAAAAAAAUUUUACUAGAUGAAGAACUAUAUGCAAGAAGAACUAUAUGUGCAAUUAUUACUAGUAACACUUACGUUUAAAUAGAAGAGUAGACUAUACAACACGAAUUCGAACGAGUUUAGCCGAACGUGGACGAAUUAGAAAAAGAGAGAUAUACUAAUUGCAAUAUUUAUUCGUUAUAAGCUCACAGUUUAGCAUCAGCCACGAAUACGAGUAUGUAUUUUGUAGAAUCAUAAAAUUCUAUUUUCAUUUUAUUAGAAACGACGGCUAGCGAAAACUCAAUCCAAACUAUUUAGAGAAAUUUAUUUUGUAUUGUGUGAAAUUAUUUGUUUCAUUGGAUUCAAGUUAGAUUCUAUCAACUGAUGGGAAUGAUUCAAACAACGAACGAAUACUACGUAUGUUUGCCAAGGUCCAAGGUAAUAACUAACAUGAUCAAUUUCGAAACUCUUCGUUUAAUUAAACUGAAAGCAAAAAACAGUUGCACUGCGACAACUUUCAAUGUUAUGGAUACAUUUGUUUAGAAAGCAAAUUGAAUAUCCGUUCGAUUCUUCGUUUCGCAUUCGGUAGCACAUAGUCUCAGCUUUUACCCGAUAACAACUUCGUCCGAUAUCCAAUUUGGAUGGAUACACAGUUGCUUGGAAAGGUCACGUAUUCCGAACGACGCUGCCGCUGCGUAUUACCCGGAAUAAAAUUUGAUGGGGCUACGGUAAAGGACUGCGGAAUUUUCGAAUAUGACGAAUGGACCAGCGCGAUAGUUCCCUUGUAAUCUUUGGUCCUUCCUGUUUUAUGAACUGGUCGUUCGUCAUUCUACACGAUUCUUCGACUUACGAAUAUGACACCCGAGUUAAAAUGUAAUAUGACAAUUAUCUUGAAAAAGUAAUAUUUACUUUUGACAUUUCAUUGGGAGUACACAGUGUUCUCUAUAUAAGAUGAUCGAAUGGCAUAUAAUUAUUUGAAUCUAAAUAUUUCAAAACUCGAUCUUUUAUUUAAAUAUUCACCUUUCAUCUUCAAAAAAACGAAAUUCACGAAAUUCAACACAUGUAAUAUAUUCCCCGUGAAACGUGUCCUCGAGUCAAGAAUCGCAUCAGUGUUCCUAUCACGUAAGUCAACAACAAUGAACAAAAAAAAACGAGAAAAAUAUAAUCAAGAUUCGAUUCUACUCACACCAGUAAGCGGAUAUAUCGUAUUGCAAUCUCGAAAAUCGA
rnacentral:lncRNA from 1 species